rnacentral:tRNA from 1 species
GGGGCUGUGGUCUAGUUAUUGGAAACUAGAAUGGUCUAUGACUUAGCCUUCGGGAGGCUAAAACCUGGGUUCAAAUCCCAGCGACCCCA